CAUAUCCCUGAUGAUGAGAUGAUCUCCUACAUCUUGGCCAGCCUUGGUGCUGGUUAAAACUCCCUGGUGGCAGUGAUUGGCGUGAUCUGCAGCAAGAUGACGCUCUGCGAGAUCUACUCUCAUCUGCAGGCAUA